AAUGAACGCUGGCGGCGCGCCUAAUACAUGCAAGUCGAGCGAGAAGACGUAGCAAUACGUUUGUAAAGCGGCGAACGGGUGAGGAAUACAUGGGUAACCUACCCUCGAGUGGGGAAUAACUAGCCGAAAGGUUAGCUAAUACCGCGUACGCUUCUUGGACUUCGGUUCAGGGAGGAAAGCGAUGCCGAGGGUAUCGCGCUCUUGGAUGGGCUCAUGUCCUAUCAGCUUGUUGGNGAGGUAACGGCUCACCAAGGCUUCGACGGGUAGCUGGUCUGAGAGGACGAUCAGCCACACUGGCACUGCGACACGGGCCAGACUCCUACGGGAGGCAGCAGUAAGGAAUAUUGCGCAAUGGGCGAAAGCCUGACGCAGCGACGCCGCGUGGGGGAGUGAAGGUCUUCGG
rnacentral:rRNA from 1 species